CGUUUCCAUGACACUCAAGAAAACCGAAUUAUCGCCAUAUUCCGAUUCAGACCGGACAACUGAAGGUCAUGUAAACACCUUAGUCCGACUAUAAUCAGAGUUUAAGAACUCUGAUUAAGACACCCAGAUAAUGAGAUUGGAAUUCGAUUUUCUCUACCAUGUAACCAGCGUAGUCGGAGUAUGAUCGGAUACAGGCCACGCCCCCGUAAUCCCGUAACAAAACCCCAGAGUAGAGGAGUAGUGUUGGUCUCAUCUUUAGAAAAAGUAGCGCGUCCAUCAUGUCGGACAAAAACUUUUUUCAAACUUAACUUUGUUCGGUCUGUUCAUGUGGACAGAAAACCUGAGAUUUUAGGACACGCUGACUUCACUCACACAGAGCCACUGUUGUUUGUGAUGAGCACGGCACCAGCUUUAAAACAUCUUGGCUUGGUUUUAUUUCAUCUUUACGGAGAAAAUCUUGUUCUUUGUCACAACAGCGGCAGAUAAACACAAAAUAUUCGCUGGUUUUAAUUCACCACUUAGGCUGUGUCUCAUUUCAGAGACCGCAUCGACCUAAGUGCCCUUCUGCACCGUCGAACGGUGCAUUAGAAGUGUGCAUGACGUCACGACGGUGCAAACGGUGUCCCGUUUGGCACGAGAUGCUAAAAAAUGCUAAGCGCGCUUAGCAUGUUUUCAAGCGUGCAUUUAUCCACGCUUUCGUGCCGUCGGUAUCCCAGAAUCCUUUGCGUGCCGCUGCACAGCUGUGCAUUUCAGGUGAGAGGCUGGACUCGCUUGGAGACGCAGCGCGUCUUCGAAGAAAAUACAAGAAAUCCAAAACCAGCAGACAGUCAGCUCAGGCUGUAUGAGAGCAUGAUCUCUGAACUCACUAAAAUCUGUAAACCAAACAUUAUAGAUUUAGAGACGAACUGAUCCGCUCUGCUUCAACUAUCAAAAACAUUAGAAAUGAGAAAGCUGACAAAACUACAGCAGAGUAUCAGGACAACAUUGAGGUUUUUUUUUCUUUUAAGAUUUAGAGAUUAAAGUUGUAAAUUUAGGAGAAUAAAGUCAUAAAGUAAAUAAAGUCAUAAAGCUGCUUUUGUGGAGGGGGAAAUGACUGAAGCUGGUCAUCUGCAGGGUUAUCUGUGGAUGUAUCAGCGGGUCAUUCAGAGAGAUUUUGUGGUUUCUGAAGAAACAAUCAAACUGAUGAUAAUCAACAUUUGUGAUCCAGAGGGAGUCGAGCUCCGACGAGCACCACGUCUCUGACACCGGCCGUAGCCUACACCUGCAGAGACACCAACACCUUAUUAUGGCAUAUGGAUUCAUAUCAUAAAUUAAAGCUCAAUGUCAUUCACGGAUAUUUACGGCUGCAUUGACAGAUAUAUCCUCAGCAUAUUCAUUUCUGCCUCCACAAAAGCAGCGAUUUCCUUCGAGUACACCAGUUUUUUUCCCCGUGGAAAAGACGUAUUUCUCAUAUAUUCUUUUUUUAAAGUCUUUAUACUUAUGACAAUGUGAUGCUGAAGUGCCAGAGGAUGAAGUAUCUCCUAUCCUCCUUCUCAAUAGGGCCCUCAUACUCCUUCAUACAAAACAAUCAUUGGAUUAAUUUUAUGGGAAUGAUCUGUGCUUGUAUGUAUCUACUAUUUUGUGUCUGUGCAAGGUCGCACAAUUAAAACAAUACAUGCUGCGCUCCGCAGCUUUUUUUCUAAUCAGUCGUGACGUAAGCCUGAGGGCGGGGACAUUUGGAGACCUUCGGAGGACUUCCUGGUGGAGUUUUUUUUAUUUUUUUUAUUGAACAAGACAGACAGUACAACCAACGAGAGACACAUCACAACAAUAACGACAAAAACAGAAAACAAAACACAACCAUACAACAGCCAGAGGACUUACAGUUCAAUGGUACAGAAUUUCUUCAUUAUAGAGUAAGUUUUGGUAGCUUUCUUGUUCUUAAUGUCCUUGAUCGUGGCAGCAUAACGGAGCAGUUCAUUUUUGAAGGGUGCAAUGUUUGGCUUGGAUUUGGCCCAUUUGUUUUUGUGGAUAUGGAAUUUCCCCAAGCUCAAGAUCAACUGACAAAAAAAGCACAGAUCUUUGUCCUGGUCAUCAUAAUAAAUAAAAAUAUGUUUUUCCUGGAAACUGAUCGUUCUUCCUGUUUUCUCGUGCACAAAUUGUUGGACAUCAAUCCAAAAGGUUUUACUGUAGGUACAAUGAUAGAAUAAAUGAGAGAUGGUUUCAUCUUCAAGUCCACAGAAAUCACAUAAAUAUUCAAUGUCCAGUUUGAAUCUUUCGAGAGUUUUCUUUGCAGGGUAAAUCUGAUGUAAUAUUUUAAAAGAGACUUCUUUGACCUUGUUAUUGAGACAGAAUUUUUCACCAACCAGCCAUGCAUUGCUCCAGUUAAUUUCUCCCAAUUGUUCAGACCAGUUAGUUUGACCUCUAGGCAGUGUCUUUGGUUGUAGGCAGCUUCUCAACAGUCUAUUCGAGCAGGCUCUUUUUGUAAUGUCUAUUCCGCCCACAAAUAUAUCACAGGUGUAAUUUCCUGGAGUAGCAGCCGUUCUUUCAGACCCUCUAAGAAGUUGUAGCACCCCCUGAGGUAAUGCAUCAAAAACCACUGCAUAUUGUUUUGGGGUGACUGGGAGUUGAAAUUUUAACAUAAAUUCUUCAUAAGAAAGUAAAAAGCCAUGGUCGUUAAGAAGUUGGUCGACUAGUAAAAUGUUGUGCUCCAUCCAGUCCUUGUAAAACAGUGAUCGGUUUUUGUAAACGAUGUCUUCAUUGUUCCAAAUAUAAUAGCUGGUUGGUGAGAAAUUAUGUUUGUAGAUCAGUUUCCAGGACAGCAAGGCUUGUUUGUGAAAGUUAGAGAGUUUAACAGGAAGCUUCUCAAUUUUGUAAUUACAUUUCAACAUAAAGCGUAUACCACCAAGUGAGUUGAAUACAUGUGUAGCAAAGGAAUUCCAGAGGUUGUUCUUCUCUCUACAUAACUUACUCAGCCAGUUGAUCUUGAGAGAGUGAUUCAAUAUUUCGAAGGUUAGCACAUCCAAACCACCAUCCCUCUUGGUAUUACAUAGAAUAUCUUUUUUUUAAUAAUGGCGUCUGUUCUUCCAGAUAAACCUGAAUAAGAUUUGAUCUAAUUUCUUGGAGACUACAGCAGGCAUUUCUAGUGCUAGUGAUAGAUAUACAGAUCUUGAUAUUCCCUCAGCUCUGGAUAACAGAAUCCGUCCGUGUAAAGAUAGAUCCCUCACUAACCACAUAUUGAAUUUUCUUCGUAUCUGUUGAGUUAUUGGUUCAAAGUUUAACUCAGAGCGCCUCUUCUCAUUUUUGUCAAGUACAACACCCAAGUAUGUCACAGUUUGUUUAAUGGGAAUACCAUUUAAUUCUGCCAGAUCACAGUGUUUGAGGGGAAAAAGCAUAGAUUUAUUAAUGUUCAUUGUCAGCCCAGAAACCUCUGAAAACUCUCUGAUACACUGCACCGCUUUGACAAGUUCAUUUUGAUUGGACAAAAAAAUAGCUGUAUCAUCCGCUAACUGAGCUAGUUUGAAUUCUCUACCUACGGCUGUCAUACCCUGAAAGUUGCUUUUUUUAAUAUGUGUUGCCAUAACCUGUGUAACCAGCAAAAACAAAAAAGGGCUUAGGGGACAACCUUGUCUGAUUCCACGACCAAUAUUAAAUCUGGGUGUUGUGCCAUUUGUUAUCUUAAUUGAGCUGUUAAUUCCUUUAUAAAGUGUUUGAACUGCCCUCAAAAACCUAUUUCCAAAACCAAAACAUCGAAUAACUUUAAACAUAAACUGGUGACUGACUGUAUCAAAUGCUUUAUAGAAGUCCACAAACAGAAUAAAACUAUCAUCAGGUAUAAAUUCAUUAUAGUCUAUCAUAUCCAGAAUCAGACGAAUAUUAUUUACAAUAUUUCUCCCUGGCAUAAACCCAGAUUGCUCCUCAUCUAUAAUAUCAACUAGUCCUAUUUUCAAUCUUUUAGCAAAGAUGAGAGCAAACAGCUUUGCAUCAUUAUUUAAUAAACUAAUUGGUCUCCAGUUUUCAAUGUUUAAUUCAUCUUUUUUUGGUUUUGGAAUUAGUUUUAUCAGUCCCUGUCUUAAAGUGUGGGGGAGUUCUUCCUUGUCUAAAGCCUCUUCAAAUAGCUCAGUUAAAAAUGGAGCGAUUGCUUGUUUAAAGUAUUUAUAAAAUUCCCCAGUUAUCCCGUCAUUACCUGGGGCUUUGUUGUCCUUGAGGGAGUCGAUGCAUUUUUGUACCUCUGUUAUCGUUAUUUUUUGAUCACACGUUACAUGGAGGUCAUCAUCUAUUCUACUAAUAUUUGGUUGUAUGGUCUGAAGAAAUAGUGACAUUUUAUCUUCAUUUAACAGGUCAGUCAUAUACAGCUUUUCAUAAAAGCGUGCAACAUAUUGCGAAAUUUGUUUUUCAUUUUCACACACAGCGUCAUGAAUUUUAAGUUUGCAGAGAGAAGACAUUUCGUAAUUCCUUUUUUCUAGACUAAAGAAAUAUUUGGUGCAUUUUUCCCCUUGUUCAAGCCAUUUCCUCCUGGAUCUGAUGAAGGCUCCUCUAGCUUUCCCCUCGUAAAGUUUGUCUAAUUCAGUUUGUAGGUAAGCCAAUUGUUCUACCUCAGCACUGGUUGGGUCUGUUUUCUCAGAUAAUGGAAAAAUUUGGGUGACAAGUUGAAGUUCUUUUUCUUUAUUAUGUCUGCUGGUUUUUCUACUUAACCUUGUAGCUAACUUUCUUAUUUCAUAUUUCAUUAAUUCCCAGUAUAAUCCAAAAUUCUUUAGUAAAUUUGCUUGUCUCCAACAUUUGUCGAUGAUUAUUUGGCUUUCCUUUACAAAUUCCUUAUUUUGUAGCAACGUUUUGUUUAAUUUCCAAUAAUCUCUAUUGACCCUCUGCCUGUCAGAUCCAAGAUGGAAUUGAAUUGAUAUAGCUUUGUGGUCUGUCAAUAUUGUGGGUUCUAUUUUGAUUGAGUCUACCUUAUUUUCUAAUUCAGGCGAAAUUAACCAAAAAUCUAAGCGAGAUUGGCAGGAUCUGUCCUUGUUGCUCCAUGUGAAUACUUUUUCCUGUGGGUGUCUGUGUCUCCAUAUAUCAAACAGGUUCAUUCUGUCGCAGAUAUUUUCCAAUUCGGUUAUCUGUUUGGCUUUUGGAGGCCAUCUGUCCAGACUACCAUCAAAUACUGUGUUGAAGUCUCCACCCCAUAAGAUCUCUGCUGAGGGAAACAGUGUCAGCCAAUAAUUAAUCUUAUUUUCCAAUGUUGAGAAAAUUAUGUUAUUGAGAGAUUUACUGUUUGACCCAUAUACAUUAAUCAGAAUAACAGACGAUUGGUUGAUAUCUGCCAAGAGAAUGAUCCACCUGCCAUCCUUAUCAGCGUCAUACUUUAUAAUUUUCCCACCAUAUUUCCCCUGUAGGAUGGCGACCCCUGCUGAGCGAUUGCUGCCAUGAGAGAGCCAUACAUUCCUUCCCCAUUGAUUCCUCCAAUGUGAGACAUCAGUUUCAGAAGAGUGGGUCUCUUGAAUGAAAUAAAAAUCUGCCCCUUUAUUCUGAAGAAAUAAGAACAAGCUUUUCCUUUUCACUUCAUUCUUAAUACCUCUGACAUUAACAGAAAAAAUAGAAGUCGUCGCACACAUAUACACACACACACACACACACACACACACACACAACUUCCUGGUGGAGUCGCCAAAUGUCCCCGCCCUCAGGCUCGCGUCACGACUGACUUAAAGGAAACCCGCGGAGCGCAGCAUUUAUUGUUUUAAUUGUGCGACCUUGCACAGACACAAAAUAGUAGAUACAUACAAGCACAAUUCAUCCAAUGAUUGUUUUGUAAGAAGGAGUAUGAGGGCCAUAUUGAGAUUUAAGACUUUAAGGACUUCGAGAUUUAAGUCGUGAAUUUACGAGAAUAAAGUCAUUAAUUUAUGAGAAUGAAGUCAUAACCUGUUAUUUCAGAGAGACUUGUUAAAAUUAGGGCCAUGAAGCAUUUGAAGGAACUGUGCUUCAGUAUAGGUUUCACAAACAAGGAGAUACUUCAUCCUCUGGCACAUCAGCAUCACAUUGUCAUAAGUAUAAAGACUUUAAAAAGAAUAUAUGAGAAAUACGUCUUUUCCACGGGGAAAAAAACUGGUGUACUUGAAGGAAAUCGCUGCUUUUGUGGAGGCAGAAAUGAAUAUGCUGAGGAUAUAUCUGUCAAUGCAGCCGUUAAUAUCCGUGAAUGACAUUGAGCUUUAAUUUAUGAUAUGAAUCCAUAUGCCAUAAUAAGGUGUUGGUGUCUCUGCAGGUGUAGGCUACCGCCGGUGUCAGAGGCGUGGUGCUCGUCGGAGCUCGACUCCCUCUGGAUCACAAAUGUUGAUUAUCAUCAGUUUGAUUGUUUCUUCAGAAACCACAAAAUCUCUCUGAAUGACCCGCUGAUUCAUCCACAGAUAACCCUGCAGAUGACCAGCUUCAGUCAUUUCCCCCUCCACAAAAGCAGCUUUAUGACUUUAUUUACUUUAUGACUUUAUUCUCCUAAAUUUACAACUUUAAUCCCUAAAUCUUAAAAGAAAAAAAAACCUCAAUGUUGUCCUGAUCCUCUGCUGUAGUUUUGUCAGCUUUCUCAUUUCUAAUGUUUUUGAUAGUUGUAACACAGCGGAUCAGUUCGUCUCUAAAUCUAUAAUGUUUGGUUUACAGAUUUUAGUGAGUUCAGAGAUCAUGCUCUCAUACAGCCUGAGUUGACUGUCUGCUGUUUUUGGAUUGCUUGUAUUUUCUUCGAAGACGCGCUGCGUCUCCAAGCGAGUCCAGCCUCUCACCUGAAAUGCACAGCUGUGCAGCGGCACGCAAAGGAUUCUGGGAUACCGACGGCACGAAAGCGUGCAUACAUGCACGCUUGAAAACGAGGCGGGGGUAGUGUGGUUUUGAGACCGAAUUUGAAGCGCACUUAGUAUUUUGUGCCAAACGGGACACCGUUCGUGCCGCGUGGUGACCUCACGUACGCGUCAGAUGCGCCGUUCGAUGGCUGCUGUAUCUGAAAUGGGACACAGGAAGGGCACAGAACGGCGCAAAACGGCGUAAAACGGCUAAAAACGGCAGUGCACUCAGCUAAGCGCCGUUAAGCGCGCUUAUCACGAUGCGGUCUCUGAAAUGAGACACAGCCUUAGUUUCAAUGUAAGCUCACAGGCUCCUCCCAUGGAGUCUGAAGAGAUAGACUGGUUACACAUCAUCGCCACCUACUGGGCCGGCAUGCUGAUGUCACUUUUAACUGUUGCUGCACAGGAGUGGAGAAAAAAACACUUCUGGUGUGGACCAAAUGACAACUCACAGCCUUGAAAAUAUGAAAUCAAAAGUACAUCUCUGCAGAGCCAGCAGAUCCACACCCCUCUUUUUAACCGCUGUUCCACAUCUGUUUGAUAAACGAGUUAAUAAAUAAAUAAGUGCCCACAGUCACAAAUUUGGAUAUUAAUCUAGAUUUUGUUAAUUUUACAAUUUUCUACUUAUUAUCAUCUUUUUAUUGUAUUUUAUUGUCUUCCAAUCUAUAUUAUUGCCGUUUUAAUCCACCAAAAUAUGAACUUAUAUUAUCCCAGUAUCAGAGAGGUUGUCCUCACUGUUAUCCUCUUCAUUCCUCGGCGAUGAUUUUGACCUCCUGAAUGUAACAGUCUGUGUCUGCAGAGCCGAUGAAUCAGAGAUUUUCUGUGUUUUUCUCGUAUAUUUUCACGUUCAAUCUCAUGCACAUUAUUAGUCUUCACACUUUUGUUUCAUUCACUACAAUACUAGUAACCUACCGGUCAAAUCGUACAUUUCCGACUUAAGACAAGCUAAUGUUAGCAUUAGCUUCACCGAGAUUCGAUGUGCAUUUCAGACUGUCAUGGAAAACGGAAAAAAUGUCAUAAACGAAGCCGAUUAUUGACAUAUUUCAAAUUCAAGACAAAAGUUUUAUUAACGACUAAAAAUGAUGUGAUUCACGUGAUCACGACGUCGCUCCAUUCAAGCCGAGAACUUUAGAGAAAGAAGCAGCAAGAAGGGGCGGUCACGGGUUUCAGGUUGCGGCUCUGUCGUGCAAUGACCUACUCCAUCCAGCAGGGGGAGCAAAGAAGGUUGUGGAUCUGUCACAGUUGUGGAUCUGUUGGGCUCUUGACACUCCCUACUCUGUGAAAUAGCCAAAAAACUGUAGUUCUCCAAGUGUCCACUAGAGGCUGGUUACGCUUGCACCAGACACCACAUUCACGCCUACUCUAAAAAGACUCAUCGAGCAAAAACAGACAUGUUUACAGUCUAAAGGCCCACCUGAACUCCACCCCUUUACCUAUAGUCAACCAAAAGUUGAUGAGUCAUCAGCCGCACCUUAGUAGCCCGUGAGUCACACCAUCAGGACCGCCUCCAUGUUUUAUAGUCUGUGUAUGAACAGGAUCUUAUUUCAAUACAGAGACGGCUCAUAAAAAGACAUCAGCCCACAUACAGGUGGGACCACACCUGAGACAACCACAUCUGGACCAGGGGGUCUGGGAGACCAGCCAAGUCACAUGAGAAAUCUUCUGUUCUGUAGAAUCAGCCCGAGGCCACGCCAGGUGACUCCACACCUGUCUCACCUGAAGAUUGAGCUACAGGAAUGUUCAGGAGACAAUCUGAAAACCAUUUCUGAACCUUGACCAACGUCUCUCUUCAGAGACAGAGACCCUAAACAGCCUGGAGCAGACUGACGUGGAGGUUGAGGUUUGUUUACGGCUCCUCAGACCUCUCUGUAUUUCUAUCCUGCGGUCGUUACUAAAGUUGGUAUAACUAAAGAAGCAAACGGUCGACAACAUUCAUCUCUGGAGGGGGGGUCUAACUCGGUGUUACGGUGUGUACUACAGACAAGCUGGUUCCGCCUCCCGCCUGUAUACGGAUUUGAAGCCAAAAAGUUCUCGGUAUUUCUGGGAUUUUUCUCCAUUUCCUGAAACCAGCGCUGCGCAGUAGUGUUGUUCGCAUUCGGCCGCGCAGUCGCCGAGAGUCGCUGUGAUGACGCUCGGCUCAAACAGCGUAUCCCCUGGGAGAGCUACGCAAUCCCUGUCCUCCCAUUGGCUGUAUCAGGUGCCAAUCAUAGAAAACAUGAAUCUAUGUCUGUAAUCAUGUCAUUACAGGAGGGACUGUUGUGUUUCAAAGUUAUAACAUCUCCACAUUAUUUAAUUAUUUUCUGUUUUUCCUCCGAUCACAUCCCUUCAGGUUAAGUUGGAGUUUUUUUUUAGUCCCUUACAAACAAAAACCCAAACUUCAGAUCCUUUUUCUAAACUCUGAACAGACUCAGAAUUUUCUUCUUUUAAAAAACACAUUUUCUUAAAUAUUCACUAACUCUUAUUUCAAAAUAAAACAUCUUUCUCUGCUCACACUAACUUUACAAAACUCUGUAAAUCUGACUCUAAAUGAAAUUAUCCUGUCAGAGAAAAACUCUUGUUUUCACUUCAUCAGGUAAAUACAGUUAAUCAAAGUUCACCAGGUUCAAAAUACUGAUUAUUACUGACAUGAUAAAAACUAGAGAGACUUUAAUGUUUCAGUUUUACAGGAAAAACAUGAAAUUCACCGUUUUUACACCAAAUGUCCUGGUUAGGAACUGUUUGUUCACAUGAAAUGUUCACAUUUAAAAGUAUUUCAGUAAAAAAUAAAUCAGUUUUUUUCCUUUAUUGUUUACUUCAGGAGGUACAGAGGGCGUGUACCUUCUCUCCUUGACUGGUCUGAUCUCAGCUCUUAGAUAUUUACAGUUUUAAAUAUUUAGGUCCCUUUAUUGACAACAACCUUCAUUUCAGCCUCAACACUGACCACAUCUUUAAAUCCUGUGAUCAACGCCUCCAUCUGUAAACUCCUUUGGAGUCAGUAAGAACCUCAUGGAGACAGUCUGUGAGAACCUCACAGAGGGAAACUGAACCUUUAAUAAUGUGGUUUGGUAACUUAAAGACAAACAGAGAGAUGUCAGCUGUAGAAAACAGUGAAUCGAGCCUCUAAAAUCAGAGUGAAGCAGAAACACUUCAGCUGAAUCUACAAGGAAGUGAUGAGGAAAGAAGCUGUUAAGAUCGUAAACGAUCCUUCUCACCUGCUGUACGGAGAGUUCGUUAGACUUUGUUCAGACCGACGUUAUCAACUACUUAAGGUAAAUCAUUAGCUCUUCAACAACUCAUUCGUUCCUCACGCCAUCAGGGCUGAACGAUCGUGGGCCUCUGUCCCGUUAGAUCUGUCUGUACACGCCGCUGUUGUCCUCCCUCUUUUGUUGGUUUGUGUGUAUUUGUGUGUAUUUGUGUUGUGUUUGUUGCUGCUGUUGAUCUGUUUUUGUACACGAUGAGACUGAAGACAAAUUUACACUUGUGGACAAUAAACGAACAAACAAACUAAUUAACGAACUAACUAACUAACUAACUACAGCAGAAAUACUGUUUACAAUAUAAUAGAACAGAAAAAGUUUGACAGUAUUGCUGACAGUGAACAAAAUAUCCAUAAAACACACAAAAGCAUUCUGAACAAAAAACAAAAAAUAACAGCAAAAAGCCCGGAUAAAAAAGGGGGAGGGGCCUAAAAAAAGCACAAAAUGACUGUAUCUAACCUCUGCGAUCUUCAGGGUUAGGCCACAUGUUUUUAUCAACAUCACAUCUGAUGUUAUCCACGGUGAUCCACCUGGGAUACAACCUCUUGGUGUGUCGGAUCCACCUUUGACCCAAUAACCGAACAUAAACCAUCUGUGUGUCGAUUAUUAACUGUUUAUGAUCAGCUGAGAUUUAUUGACUUUGAACUGAAUGUCAUUGCAGCAGCAGAGGUUUUUAUUCUCUAUCGAAGGUUUGGAAUAUUAUUUUUGUUAUUAUGGGAUGUUGUGUGUUAACAUUCGUAAAUAAAACAGAAAUAAUCAUUUUGUUGGGAGGUGUCGCUCGUCUGUUAAGAAAACGUUAACUUUGUGUAAAUGUGUUCGCUGACUGGAUAUUGUGUGAAAACGACAUGAAGAGUGAACGGUAAAAAGACCGAUGCUGUGAUCGUUGUGUUUAGAGAAAAACUGUGAUAAGGAGUUGAGUUUACCUCCUAUCAUCAUCAGUGAGGUCUGGGUGUAGUGACCUGAAGAGGCCAGCAGGCGUCACUGUGACUCUAAUGUUGACAUCGUCAGCGAGCCGGUCUGAGUGAUUUAAAGGGUUUUUCUGUUGGUCUAAUAAAAUCUCUGAAUUAGUGGGUUUGUUUUUUUGUGAAACUGUCACUUUAAAUCUGACACCAAACCAGUUUAUUCACAAAAACACAAAAAUUCAAUCACAGGGACAGAAGAAGAGUUUGUUCGCUUCAACACUAACUCACUCAUAUUAUCAUCAGAUCAGCGUCAAACUCAAACUCACAGCUGUCUGUUCGUUUAUGAGGAUGAAGCCCAAAGAUAUCAGUCCCCACGGACAACUCUGGACUCCUCUGUUCCUCCUUCCUCCAGUUUACAGAUUUGAAGCCGAAAAGUUCUCUGUAUUUCUGUGUUUUUUCUCCACUUCCUGAAACCAGCAUUGCGCAGUAGCGUUGUACGCAUUCAGCGGGAGAGUCGCUGAGAGUCGCUGUGAUGACGCUCGGCUCAAACAGCGUAUCCUCCAGGUGAUCUACUCAAUCUCUGUCCUCCCAUAGGCUGUAUCAGGUGUCAAUCUUAGCAAACAUGAACCCCCUAAUAACUUUUAAAAAUGGAGCUGCACAGAAAAAAGAGGACUUGAGCACAAACCAGUCUGACAGUAACUACAUGUCAACAUCACAACCAGGGGGGAGAAACAUUUAUAUUCUGUGUCAUUCAUUUAUAAAGUUUGUCCACAGCUCCAUAAGGAGGCGGGGUUUAUGACCUAUACUGCAGCCCGUCACCAGAGGGCGCUGUUCUCUGAGCGAGGAGGCAGACGGCGUCUAUUCUAGAUACAGUCUAUGGUGCGGAGCAGAGGACCCGACAGUGUCCCCCUAACAUCUGUCAGAGCGGCUCUGAUGACUUUAGAACUCGUUUUGAGAAGGUUUGAUGAUGUCACAGAUGUUCUCGGACUGUUCCAGUAUGUUUACAAAAAAACAAAAUUUUCUCAAACGUUCCGGAAUGUUAUUGAUCUUUUAGAAUGUCUUUGAUGUUAUAGAAUGUUAUUGAUCUUUUAGAAUGUCUUUGAUGUUACGGAAUGUUAUUGAUCUUUUAGAAUGUCUUUGAUGUUCCGGAAUGUUAUUCUAGAAUGUUCUAUAUCCUCCAGAGUGUCACCACCAUAGACUGUAUUUACUACUGACAACUUGGUUCCUCCUUCCGCCAGUUUACGGGUAUUGAAGCUGGAAAGGACAACUGGACUUAGUUGAGCCGUUUCGCCUUCAACGUAGAAUUAGAAAUCAUUCAGUCCGUUUACAUGACACUCGAGAAAACCGAAUUAUCGCCUUAUUCCGAUUAAAACCGGACAACUGAAGGUCAUGUAAACACCUUAGUCUGACUAUAAUCAGAGUUUGAGAACUCUGAUUAAGACACCCAGAUAAUGAGAUUGGAAUUCGAUUUUCUCUACCAUGUAACCAGCGUAGUCGGAGUAUGAAGCCACGCCCCCGUAACCCCGUAACAAACCCCCAGAGUAGAGGAGUAGCGUUGGUCUCCUCUUUAGAAAAAGUAGCGCGUCCAUCAUGUCGGACAAAAACAACGCUGUACGAUGCUCCAUCUUCUUGUUUCUCCAAAAUGCCCAGCAGCAGUUGGAGACACUUCUGACGUCUGACACCGACCUGCUGU